GACGAACGCUGGCGGCGUGCUUAACACAUGCAAGUCGAACGCUGAAGCUCAGCUUUUGUCGGGUGGAUGAGUGGCGAACGGGUGAGUAACACGUGAGUAACCUGCCCCCUUCUUUGGGAUAACGCCCGGAAACGGGUGCUAAUACUGGAUAUUCACUGGUCUUCGCAUGGGGGUUGGUGGAAAGGGUUUUUCUGGUGGGGGAUGGGCUCGCGGCCUAUCAGCUUGUUGGUGGGGUGAUGGCCUACCAAGGCUUUGACGGGUAGCCGGCCUGAGAGGGUGACCGGUCACAUUGGGACUGAGAUACGGCCCAGACUCCUACGGGAGGCAGCAGUGGGGAAUAUUGCACAAUGGGCGCAAGCCUGAUGCAGCGACGCCGCGUGAGGGAUGGAGGCCUUCGGGUUGUGAACCUCUUUCGCUCAUGGUCAAGCCGCAACAAUGGUUGUGGUGAGGGUAGUGGGUAAAGAAGCGCCGGCUAACUACGUG
rnacentral:rRNA from 1 species